rnacentral:rRNA from 1 species
UAAUGGGUCAGCGACUUAUAUUCAGUGGCAAGGUUAACCAUCUAGGGGAGCCGUAGGGAAACCGAGUCUUAACUGGGCGUUCAGUCUCUGGAUAUAGACCCGAAACCAGGUGAUCUAGCCAUGGGCAGGUUGAAGGUUGAGUAACAUCAACUGGAGGACCGAACCGACUAAUGUUGAAAAAUUAGCGGAUGACUUGUGGCUAGGGGUGAAAGGCCAAUCAAACCUGGAGAUAGCUGGUUCUCCCCGAAAGCUAUUUAGGUAGCGCCUCGGACGAAUACUACUGGGGGUAGAGCACUGUUAAGGCUAGGGGGUCAUCCCGACUUACCAACCCUUUGCAAACUCCGAAUACCAGUAAGUACUAUCCGGGAGACACACGGCGGGUGCUAACGUCCGUCGUGGAGAGGGAAACAACCCAGACCGCCAGCUAAGGUCCCAAAUUACUACUAAGUGGGAAACGAUGUGGGAAGGCUCAGACAGCCAGGAUGUUGGCUUAGAAGCAGCCAUCAUUUAAAGAAAGCGUAAUAGCUCACUGGUCGAGUCGGCCUGCGCGGAAGAUGUAACGGGGCUAAGUAGUAAACCGAAGCUGCGGCAAUAUACUUUUGUAUAUUGGGUAGGGGAGCGUUCUGUAAGCGGUUGAAGGUGUGUGGUAACGCAUGCUGGACGUAUCAGAAGUGCGAAUGCUGACAUGAGUAACGAUAAAGGGGGUGAAAAACCUCCUCGCCGGAAGACCAAGGGUUCCUGUCCAACGUUAAUCGGGGCAGGGUAAGUCGACCCCUAAGGCGAGGCCGAAAGGCGUAGUCGAUGGGAAACGGGUUAAUAUUCCCGUACUUCUUACAAUUGCGAUGGGGGGACGGAGAAGGCUAGGUGGGCCUGGCGACGGUUGUCCAGGUUCAAGUGCGUAGGCUUAAGAGUUAGGUAAAUCCGGCUCUUUUUAAG